AAACCCGUGUCCAUAUUGUGUGUGUGAAGAAGCAUCGAAGCGCGGCAGCCAUGUUCAGCGUGGCAUUUCGGAAGGCUUGUCAGGGGUGGAGAAGCGGGGCGGGUUGCUGUUCUUUCACCUGACACUAAAGCGCCAUGCCGGAAGCACUGAGUCUGAUACGUCGGAACCAGUCUCCACCGUGUGGUUUGGUCUUGAUUUCCACUGGUACUCUGGGGUCUUGGAUAAGUCUCUGGACCUCGCCUUUGUCAUUUGCGAAGUCGAUAGGUUCCAAUAGAGAUUUUCCCAGAAUCAUUCAACUAAAAAUAGAGAACUUUUUUUUUUUGAGAGGAAGGACGGGGGCGCAGUUAAAGAUGUUAAUGUUAAGUCAUCCCUUCUGUGAUUUCGGGACAUUAUCUUUGCACGCCAUGUGAAGAUGUGCUUGCUUCCUUGUCACCUUCCGCCAUGAUUGUAAGUUUCCUGAGGCCUCCCAGGAAGCAGAAGCCUGUACAGCCCACAGAACCAUGACCUGAUGAAAUCUCUUUUCUUUAUAAAUUACCCAGUCUCAGAUCUUGCUAUGCUUGUCAUUGUGUAAGCAGCAAACUUGCAGUGACCAGUUGGAUUCCACCCCCCUGAUGUUGGUGGUGUGCUCUUGGGGAGAUGUCUUCCAGACAGGCAAAGAAGAGUGACAUCAUCAGAGCAUGGACGACCUCAAAGAUAUUCCAGCUAUGGACAUUUCAAUUAUCCUCUGAAAUGGAAUAAUCCUCAUUGAAAGCAUGAUACUAGAAGCUCAUGAGGAUUAUUUUCAAAGAAAGCUGUGCAGAAGAGUUGGCUCAGCAGGCUUGGCAUGCUCAAACCAGCUCCUGGGAGAUAACCUACGAGCCCUUGGAAUAGUCUGUGCAAUAGGGGUCCUGGAGCACUCCAUAUCAGUUUGAUCUCUGGCUGGGGAGGAGCUGGAGAUUAAGUAUUUAAGAUCAGCCAUGUAGGUAUUCUGUGCCUACCUGACUGACCCCCAUUAAAGAGUCUGAACACCAAGUCUUGGGUGAGCUUCCCUGAGGAAACAAAAGGAGGGUGUUAGAGGAAAAAGAGGGAAACCCACUGACAGAGAGGAAGGCUGAAGAGAUCCCACCGCUGACUUGGACUAAGGAGAGAGAAGUCAAAGAGUGGUUACCUGGAUGAGGUGGCUGAAUAUGGGCCUGCUCUUGUCACUUUGGAUGUCACAACUAGCCUUGAGAAGAGCUGCUGUUCCAGGAGUCUGUCACAACUAGCCUUGAGAAGAGCUGCUGUUCCAGGAGUCUGUAGCCAAGGACGUACAGCAGUGGAGGCUGACUCAUCGCAUAGCUGAGUGACCAAUUGCUUGGCAUGAGUUUACUUUAAUGGCUGUUUCUGAGUUUGAUCCCUCUCCGGAACCAACCCCUCUGAUGUGUCCUGUUCCAGCAGGAAGAGACAGACCUGGAGGUUCUGUACUUGUGAUUUCUGGUUGUGGAUCCUGAGAACAAGAAGUACUGGGAUCCUAAAGUUCUGACAUUUGCAAAGCAGAUUAAUGACCUACCACAUUCCAGAUCAUUUGGUGAUUUUGUGUGUGCGUGUGGGUGUGUGUGUGUGUGUGCCAAAUUCAAGGUGGUCCCAGCCUUUCUAGUCUUCUCUAACCUUUCUUCUCAGAAGUCGCACCUGUUCUGUCUUUCUAGGAUAUAAUUUUUUUUCUAUUAGCCUGGGUAACACCCCAACCAAUAAAGUUUGCAAUAUCCAAGCCUCCUAAUUUCUCUACUUAUUAGCUUAUAUUAAGCUUCAGCAUGAGCAAGCCUAAAAACUCGCCAUUAUCUGGAAAAGUUCUAUUUCACAGGCUUUAAUCUCUCCUAGAGUAGUUAGCACUCUUUUGUGGCUUUGUGUUCCUGUACUAGCUUGAAUUCCACAGUCUGACGUUAAUAAUUAGCUCCUUAACACGUCCAUCCUCUCUUGAUGUCCUGCUCUCUAUUUUUCCUUCUUUCUUCCAAGUUGGGAUAAAUUCAGCUUCUUAUUUUCCUGCUCCAGACCUUGGUUGUGGAGAAAGAUAGAAAAAGUUCCAUACAGGGGACUCUGUGAUCCUGCUAACAUCAUUAUUUACCUAAGCUCUUUAGACUCCAGUGAAAGCUUCUGAUUUAAUGUCAUGUCCCUACUUUAUGCCACAUGUCCCAUACCAUUUUCUUUGUUUUAUGCAAUUUAUUUCCACUAUCUGAUCCCAUUCCACCCACAUGACUUUGAGUGGAAAACUUCAUCUCUUCAUUGCUGAGUAAACAAACUUCAGGAUGAACAAGCCCUGUCCACUAUUUUCCCUUUUACUUUAAAAUUCUGGAAUUUUUAUGAUCUACGUUUUUUUCCUCUGUUUUUAUUCUUCACUCCAUAUCAACUUACUUGGGGAUCUACACCUUCAUUCAUUCUUUUCAUUCUGUCGGCACCUGGCUAUGGAGUUUACAUUUCUCAUCAUAUUUACUCCUCAUAAUAAUCCUGUGAGGUAUAUACCACUCUGAGUCUUGUAUAAGAGAAAAAGAAACUGAGAUAGGGAUAACUCAAAGGGAUAAUUCAUUUGCUGGAGCUACCAACUAGCUACUAACCAUGCUAGAAUGGACAGAGAUGACAUUCAUGCCAAAGACCAUGUUGACUUGCUAUCUCUACAUUUGCUCUAAGUUUAGAAAAAAAAAAUCCCUUCAAUUUAUCCUCCAACAGUCUUCUUAGAACCUUACCAUGGAUGCCUUGUAUAACACAUUUCACCUUUCUGGUAAAAAAAAAAAAAAAAAAAAAAAAAAAAAAGUACCCCUCUUCCUUUCAUUAAAUCUUGCUUUUCCCAAAGCCAGUGAUUUUAAUCUCUUCAAAAUACUGCCUUCUAAUUUAUUAGAAUAUAGGCUCUGUUAAGGAAAAGGCCUUGCCUAUAUCUGUUAAUAAUUUUUACCUUGUAAUCACAGUGAAGAGCAUUGAAUUUGCCACAUGGUAAGUAUUCAGUAAAUAAAUAGAUAUAAGGUGAAAUAAAGUAGUCCACCCAUCCCUUUUUUAUUCGGUUGUUUACUGUGUUCUUGGAUAUUUUUAAAAAUGUGUCUUCACAGAUGUAAUUUAGAGACAUUGUAUCUAGUCCACCAAAAAAAAAACACCUAAUUUUGAUGAAGGAGUCACAUAAAUUUUGGAAAAGUAAUAUUUUUAUAAUAUAGUUCCUUUAUACAUGAAUAUGAUGGGCCUUCUUUUUGACUUGCAGGGUAGUUUAUCCAUUUUAUUUAUGUACAGAUAUUACCUGAAUGGUGGACACAAAUCCAAAUACAAAUCUGAUCUUGUUGCCCUACUCAAGUCCUCCAUUGGCUCUUCAUUGCUUAUAUUAUGGUACUAUUAUUUAUGGUAAUAAUACUCGGGUAUGACAAAAGUAACAUUUUACUUUGUGUAACUGAAAUCAACUUGUUCAUUUUACUUAAGGAUAAAGUUACCCUUUAUUUUCCCCCUGAAUAGAAACACACACAAUAUUCCUUGCAUACUUUUCAUGUAUGCAAUGUUGCUUCCCUUCACCCUC
rnacentral:lncRNA from 1 species